rnacentral:ncRNA from 1 species
AGCAAAGCUGUGAAAAGAAGAGUAAGUUGUUAGGAGCUUUACAGAGAGCCGGCGUUUGGUGAGAGCCGGUGAGCAAGUAACAUCUGAACAUGGUCUUGGAGCUGCGUACCGAGGCAGGUAAUUGCUUAGGCUACGACGGGUGCACCCGUUAUAGUGAUAGACUAUCGAUGGAUCAUUUCCCGUCCGUAGUUGAUGAGACCCAUAUCGUGAGAUAUGAGUGAAUUAGGGUGGUAUCACGAAGCUUAUUAGCUCUCGUCCCUGAA